AGAUGCUUCAUUUCAUGGCUUCACAUCAUGGAAGGGCCGUGUGGUAGAGAAGCCUCACCAUCCUGUGCAGGCUCAUCUUACGGCUUAAAGCGGUGGUAGAUAAGUCAACUCAUUGCAGACUUCUUAAAAGCCUGGGCCAGGAUGAGAAGCAAAAUGAAGCCGGAAGUUCUUUCUCAGAAGAGUAUUUUCCUGGUUUCUGAAGGGGACUUGAAGAGAAAUUCUCCUAGAGAGACUGUCAGCUCACACACCAGGAUACGGUAUUGGCUGGGAAGCUUAUGGAUUUUAAAUCGAUCUAAUCCAAUCGGGGAACUUUUCUUAUAUGGCAAAGAGACAUAUGUGGUCUCUGACAUGGUGGGUGAGUGAAGUUCAUUAAGGAAUCAAAGAGCAAAGGAAAAGAACAAAAUAAAAUCCAGAAGAUUGAAUAGUAGAUGGAA